rnacentral:sRNA from 1 species
AGCUACCCAUGGUCCUCCACCUCUACAGAGAAGCCUUCUCUGACCAUCCCCUUGACGCCUUUUGUGUAGAAGUUGUAUCAGGAUCGUCAGAUGGCUUGAUGUGAACCUUGAAAACCUUUUCUACAUAUUACCCAGUAAGCAAUACAAUGACAGUCACUUGUCUGUGACAGUUGAGAGUGCAUCAGUACUGGAGAGUGUCACGUGAUGAAAUAAGGACAAUAAGCUGAGCCAUGUCUCAUCAACAUUCAUGUGUUGCAGCCUUACCCGUGAUCUACAUGUGUGCAGAUGAGACUCUGAAAGGUAACUACUUCAAUAACAUCAGCAGGCGAAUUUCAUUAUAAUGGGGCCAGCUCUUCUGUCAGAAGAGCAUCUCUCCCUGUUGUUAUAUGAAGACACAAGAAGGAGCUGGGCCAUCUACACACCAUGAAAAAAAAUCCUCACUGGAAGCCAACCACACCAGCAUCUCAAAUUUGGAUGUCUAGGCUUCAAGACUGUGAAUACAUUUCUGACAUUUAAGCAUUCUGGUCUAUAGUAUUUUGUUACAACAUCUUGAACUGACUGAGAGAGUGCAAGACAGCAAUGCACAAACCAGAGGAUUUAAAAGAGCAGGCUAACUGGAGUAUGUUGGCUCACUCUCAACUCUCUAGAGGCUGAGGCAGGAAGAUUGAAGAUUUCAGCCUGGACUACAUAAUGAGACCCUGUC